rnacentral:rRNA from 1 species
GACGAACGCUGGCGGCGUGCUUAACACAUGCAAGUCGAACGGAAAGGCCCUGCUUUUGUGGGGUGCUCGAGUGGCGAACGGGUGAGUAACACGUGAGUAACCUGCCCUUGACUUUGGGAUAACUUCAGGAAACUGGGGCUAAUACCGGAUAGGAGCUCCUGCUGCAUGGUGGGGGUUGGAAAGUUUCGGCGGUUGGGGAUGGACUCGCGGCUUAUCAGCUUGUUGGUGGGGUAGUGGAUUACCAAGGCUUUGACGGGUAGCCGGCCUGGGAGGGUGACCGGCCACAUUGGGACUGAGAUACGGCCCAGACUCCUACGGGAGGCAGCAGUGGGAAUAUUGCACAAUGGGCGGAAGCCUGAUGCAGUAACGCCGCGUGCGGGAUGACGGCCUUCGGGUUGUAAACCGCUUUCGCCUGUGACGAAGCGUGAGUGACGGUAAUGGGUAAAGAAGCACCGGCUAACUACGUG